rnacentral:rRNA from 1 species
GACGAACGCUGGCGGCGUGCUUAACACAUGCAAGUCGAACGGUGAAGCGCUUGCCUUUUUGGUGGGUGUGGAUGAGUGGGGAACGGGUGAGUAACACGUGAGUAACCUGCCCUCUUCUUCUGGAUAACCUCAUGAAAGUGGGGCUAAUACGGGGUAUUCCGGGUCUGUCGCAUGGCGGGUUUGGGAAAGAUUGCGCCUUUGGGUGUUUUCGGUGGGGGAUGGGCUCGCGGCCUAUCAGCUUGUUGGUGGGGUGAUGGCCUACCAAGGCGGUGACGGGUAGCCGGCCUGGGAGGGUGGACGGCCACACUGGGACUGAGACACGGCCCAGACUCCUGCGGGAGGCAGCAGUGGGGAAUAUUGCACAAUGGGCGCAAGCCUGAUGCAGCGACGCCGCGUGAGGGAUGGAGGCCUUCGGGUUGUGAACCUCUUUCGCCAGUGAAGCAGGCCUGCUCCUGUGUGGGUGGGUUGACGGUAGCUGGAUAAGAAGCGCCGGCUAACUACGUG